rnacentral:rRNA from 1 species
CCUACGGGGGGCAGCAGUGGGGAAUAUUGCGCAAUGGGCGAAAGCCUGACGCAGCGACGCCGCGUGAGGGAUGAAGGUCUUCGGAUCGUAAAGCUCUGUCAGCAGGGAAGAACGGGCACUGUGCUAAUCAGCAGUGAAUUGACGGUACCUGCAAAGGAAGCACCGGCUAACUCCGGGACAGCGGCCGCGGUAAUACGGAGGGGGCGAGCGUUAGUCGGAAUUACUGGGCGUAAAGCGCUCGUUGGCGGUAUGUCAAGUCAAGGGUGAAAGGCCCGGGAUCAACGUGGGAACUGACUUUGAAACUGGAAAACUGGAGUGUGUGAGAGGAUAGUGGAAUUCCAGGUGUAGGAGUGAAAUCCGUAGAUAUCUGGAGGAACAUCAGUGGCGAAGGCGACUAUCUGGCACAUAACUGACGCUGAGGAGCGAAAGCGUGGGUAGCAAACAGGAUUAGAUACCCGUGUAGUC